GUUUUAGUAAUUUAAUUUAAAAUGUCAUUUUUGUAAAAUGAAAAUAGUUUUUACUUUAAAACU
rnacentral:tRNA from 1 species